GUGCGAAACUGAUCCCGGUCGCAGCUGCGAUCCCUGGGUCCUCUAUAUGUACGCCAGUGACCUGAACUAUAAAUGUAUAGCCAAGCUCUGAAAAUCUAUAGUCUAGAGGAAUAAUAGUAUAGCAAACAUUAUGGAAUAGCUGACUGGAUCCAUUCACAUAACCUAUGAUCACAUAAUGUCCACAUUUAUGGCUCCCCAUGGUUCAUUGCAGAAGUAAAUAUUUGAAAG